rnacentral:misc_RNA from 1 species
AAAGGCUUAGUUGAGAUGAGUUGAAUAGCUCAUUAUUUCUAGGGUGCAUAUAUUACAUGUUAAAAUACAGCAGCUUGUUGCUUGUCAAAUACUUGGAAUCUUGAAAUGAAUUUUCAUAUUUGUGGCAUUUAAAUUAUAAUGUUGCUUUUGAAAUAAUUAUGUUUUGGAAUUAAUUUACAUCUCAUAACAUUUAGAAUUCAUUUGUAUACCAUUCACAUUUGGCUUCAUGUGGUAUGAAAGCAGCAGCAGACAGUAACUUACCUUAAUGAGGAAUGAUUGUGUUCACAAAAGCCAAU